AUACGGAGGGGGUUAGCGUUGUUCGGAAUUACUGGGCGUAAAGCGCGCGUAGGCGGAUUGGUAAGUUAGAGGUGAAAUCCCGGGGCUCAACCCCGGAACUGCCUUUGAUACUGCCAGUCUUGAGUUCGAGAGAGGUGAGUGGAAUUCCGAGUGUAGAGGUGAAAUUCGUAGAUAUUCGGAGGAACACCAGUGGCGAAGGCGGCUCACUGGCUCGAUACUGACGCUGAGGUGCGAAAGCGUGGGGAGCAAACAGGAUUAGAAACCCUUGUAGUCC
rnacentral:rRNA from 1 species